AGCGAACGCUGGCGGCAUGUCUAACACAUGCAAGUCGAGCGGGUGGCUUCGGCCAUCAGCGGCGGACGGGUGAGUAUCGCGUAGGAACGUGUCCUGAGGUGGGGACCAACCCUGGGAAACCGGGGCUAAUGCCGCAUGACCCCUUCGGGGGAAAGCCUUCGGGCGCCUUGGGAGCGGCCUGCGUCCGAUUAGGUUGUUGGUGGGGUAACGGCCUACCAAGCCUGCGAUCGGUAGCUGGUCUGAGAGGACGAUCAGCCACACUGGGACUGAGACACGGCCCAGACUCCUACGGGAGGCAGCAGUGGGGAAUAUUGGGCAAUGGGCGGAAGCCUGACCCAGCAAUGCCGCGUGGGUGAAGAAGGUCUUCGGAUUGUAAAGCCCUUUCGGCGGGGACGAUGAUGACGGUACCCGCAGAAGAAGCCCCGGCUAACUUCGUGCCAGCAGCCGCCGUAACAC
rnacentral:rRNA from 1 species